rnacentral:rRNA from 1 species
UACGUAGGUGACGAGCGUUGUCCGGAUUUACUGGGCGUAAAGAGCGCGCAGGCGGUCGUUCAAGUCGAGUGUGAAAGCCCCCGGCUCAACUGGGGAGGGUCACUCGAUACUGAUCGACUCGAAGGCAGGAGAGGGUAGUGGAAUUCCCGGUGUAGUGGUGAAAUGCGUAGAUAUCGGGAGGAACACCAGUGGCGAAGGCGGCCAUCUGGACAACUACUGACACUGAGACGCGAAAGCGUGGGUAGCAAACAGG